GAUCACCAAUUUGUGAUAGAAAUGGUUCAAAUCAACCACAAUCACAAGAUGCUGGAAAGCGCCGAGAUGCUUUUGCACAUGCAAUCGCACAAAAAAGACGAUCCUUUGAUAGACCAGUUAGUGAAAGAUAUGCAACUGGACAACCACACACAUGCUCAGAUGAUGUCAACACUAUGGCGUAUGUCCGGUGGUCUGCAGUACAUGGGACAUACUAGCCGCGACUGGGUAAACAAGAAACAGAAGUUUGCCAGAGAAGAGUCCGAAGAUGAUGUCAAGAAACUUCUGGAUUUCUUUGAGAAAAUGCAAAAUAUAAACCCAGAGUUCUUCUAUGAUUAUGACGUGAACGCAAGUUGCAAAGUAUUGUAUGAAGAUUUUGGAGACUGUGUUACAUUUGACACGAUUUAUAAAACAAACAAAUUCCACAUACCGUUGGGAGUCUUUGUGGGGGUGAACCAUCAUCCACACAGCACCAUAUUUGCUGUUGCCCUCGUGCGAGAUGAAACAAUACCAUCAUUCGAGUGGGUUUUCAAAACCUUUCUAAGGUGUAUGAACAACAAGCCGCCAAUCUGCAUGCUCACAGACCAGUGUUCUUCGAUGAAGGCAGCAUUAAAAACUAUCCUCCCACAUACUCUGCAUAAGCUGUGUCGGUGACAUAUCAAGAAGAAGUACAAAGACCACCUUGCCUUGCUGUAUAAGGCACACGAGAAACUCAAGGAUGAACUCAAUGCCAUGCUGAACCACCCACUAAUGCCGUCAGAAUUUGAACAAGCAUGUAAGAACCUCAUUCAGAGGUACAACUUGCAAGACAACGAAGUGAUGAAUUCGCUGUGGGAUGACAGGCACGAGUGGAUCUCGGCUUACUACAAGGAAAUUAAUUUUCUGUGCUCGGAUGACUUCCACACAGAGAAGCAGAGCAUGGACCGCAUACUAAAGAAAAUGUUUGUCAAGCAGAAGCAUGAUCUCCAUCUGUUUGCUCAGCAGGUGGAUAAGUGCAUUCAGACCAGGAAGGCCGUCGAGCACGGAGAGACAGUAGCAAAUGAGGUAAACAAAAUGUCAAUCAAAAACUGCUAA
rnacentral:rRNA from 1 species